rnacentral:rRNA from 1 species
UGGCCAGACUCCUACGGGAGGCAGCAGUGGGGAAUAUUGCGCAAUGGGCGCGAGCCUGAACCAGCCCCGUCGCGUGAGGGAGGACGGCCCUACGGGUUGUAAACCUCUUUUGCCGGGGAGCAACGGGCGUCACGUGUGGCGUCACUGAGAGUACCCGGAGAAAAAGCAUCGGCUAACUCCGUGCCAGCAGCCGCGGUAAUACGGAGGAUCCGAGCGUUAUCCGGAUUUAUUGGGUUUAAAGGGAGCGUAGAUGGGUUGUUAAGUCAGGUGUGAAAGUGUGCGGCUCAACCGUAAAAUUGCAAUUGAUACUGGCAGCCUUGAGUACAGUUGAGGUAGGCGGAAUUCGUGGUGUAGCGGUGAAAUGCUUAGAUAUCACGAAGAACUCCGAUUGCGAAGGCAGCCUACUAAACUGCCACUGACAUUGAUGCUCGAAAGUGUGGGUAUCAAACAGGAUUAGAUACCCUUGUA